UUUCCGUAGGUGAACCUGCGGAAGGAUCAUUAUUGAAUGAAACACUUCUGGCUUUAUGCUGUUGUGCUGGCCCUUUUGGCAAUGUGCACACGGCUCUGGUCACUUGUUUCUUCUGUUCCACCUGUGCACUGCCUGUAGACACGCUGUGUCUAUGAUAUUUGUUAACACACAACAAUGUUAGUUGGCAUGUUAUAUAUAAUAAUAAAAUAUACAACUUUCAACAACGGAUCUCUUGGCUCUC
rnacentral:misc_RNA from 1 species